rnacentral:misc_RNA from 1 species
CUGAGUUGCAAAACUCCAAACCCAUGUGAACAUACCUCGUGUUGCCUCGGCGGCGAGCGAAGUGCUCGGGAGGUACCUACCCGGUACCUACCCUGUAGGACUGCCGCAUCCGCCGGAGGACCACCUAAACUCUUGUUUCUAUGUGGCACGUCUGAGUAAUUAUUUUUAAUAAGUCA